ensembl:lncRNA
GCUAAAUUCAAUCAAACAUGCAUUACGGUAUUUAUGCAGUAGCUCUUUUUGCAACGGUAAAAUAAAUGUACUUCCUGGACAUGGGUGCUUUAUAAAAACCUACCACAACCAGGGCGGCAUCUGCGUGUGCACACAGAACUCAUUUUGUAAAUAAAGACACUGCACAAACAUUGCUUUUGCGGGUUUGCAUUAAUUCCACCCUGAGUGAUCCUGCAAAACCUGAUCCUUGAUUCAGGUCGCACACAGGCUGCACUAAUCCUCAGUCCGUGUGUUUGUCUAACUCUUGCUAAAUAAGAAAUUAAUCCAAAAUCACAACCCAGAAGGAUCCUUUUAAGUCAAGAACUGGUCCCAAAGCUGCCAACCGAAGCCUCUGUUAGGGCUUCGCUAGGAACAACAACCUCCUUCCAACAAUGCACACAGAAAUAGCAGCAAAAACACUUUUGAAUGAGUCGUUGUCAAUUCUGGGCAUACACUUUGAACAGUAAUUUACUUGAUUUCCCCUAAUCAAAUGUUCCUGUUUUAACCAUGGAGGGCAGGGAACCACGAUUCCCAAACAGAGAGAUGAAAGGCAUAAUGCUUUUUUUUUUUGUAUUGUCAGUUUAUGGAAAUGUUUUUCCUUUCAAUGUCAUUGUUGAAAUUGUGUCGGCCUCCCCUCUCCACCCAACACUCCAGUCUGGGCUCAGAACUGAGGUCCACCUGGCAUAUAUUGUGUCGGCCUCCCCUCUUCACCCAACCCUCCAGUCUGGGCUCUUAACUGAGUUCCACCUGGCAUAUAUUGUGUCGGCCUCCCCUCUUCACCCAACCCUCCAGUCUGGGCUCGGAACUGAGGUCCACCUGGCAUAUAUUGUGUCGGCCUCCCCUCUUCACCCAACCCUCCAGUCUGGGCUCGGAACUGAGGUCCACCUGGCAUAUAUUGUGUCGGCCUCCCCUCUUCACCCAACCCUCCAGUCUGGGCUCGGAACUGAGGUCCACCUGGCAUAUAUUGUGUCGGCCUCCCCUCUUCACCCAACCCUCCAGUCUGGGCUCUUAACUGAGUUCAACCUGGCAUAAAUUGUGUCGGCCUCCCCUCUUCACCCAACCCUCCAGUCUGGGCUCUGAACUGAGGUCCACCUGGCACAAGGUGAGUGGUGGCAAUGGGUCACAGGCUGGCCAUGGAACCACACAGGCAAAUGGCACCGAAUUCCCUAUAAAGGGCACCACUUGUGACCAGGGUCCAUAAGCAGUGCACUAUUCACGUAAAGAGCGCCAAUUGUGACAAGACAGAACAGUGUUGGGUAAACGCUCUUGCAAUUCGGACAAGAGGUGAUGCCACCAAGUGUGUGCUUCCAGAAGCUUCUGAGCCACAGGGCCAGUUGUAGUCCAGCUAUCACGGGAGGGAGCUUGGCUUUUAUUGUCUUAAAACCCCACGGAGAGCAGAGCGCAGCCUCAAACGGUCCAUAACCUUGUUUUAAUGGCACGAUGAAUACACACUUACAGCACGUAAUGGAGCCGAUCGAGGAUGAUGUCCCUUCAGGGUCAAUGGCAGACUGUUACCCAGGCAGGUAAGGAGGGGCCAGCGAUGUGUUUGCCUGUGUGAUUGUGUGCAUUUGCACUGACACGUUGUUAUUUGUGCUGCUGGGAAGGGGGGGGGGGCUGUAGGAGGAGCUUGUGGACCCCAUAGUCAAAGGUGACAUUCUUCAUCAGGUGAUGAACACACUGUACUGUGCUUGAUAAGCUGAAACUCAAAUAACACUAAAUGAAAUAGCAGUAAAAAUGCAGCAAAGAGAAAACACAGCCCAACAAAUCAUUGUCUACGGUUGUUUGUCCAGGAAGGUGUGGUUGUUUGUUCCAAGUAGUACAAAAGUGUGCAGAGGAUAUGGAUGAAACACUAACAACAGUUAAACAUAAGCUACAGAGAAAUGACCAGGAACUGUUGGCCUAGCAUAAUCUCAGGGAGGGGAAGGCACAGACAACGUUUUCCUUAGAGUAUCGUCACCAUACAGGUUACUCAAACAUUUCUCUCACAAAGUAG